rnacentral:misc_RNA from 1 species
UCCGGUCCAAGAAAGGGUUUUUGUGUCGUAAGCCACGGGACAGAAACCGUUGGAAAGUUUGCUGUCGAGUGCCACUACAAAUGUUUAAAUCCAAAGGAAAUUAAUGGAAACCAAUCAAAGUUGGAGCGUAGAAAGCGCGCAGUUCGUGAAAGAUCCUACGUCGCAAAAUCACAGUGGAAAGGAAAGGUUUCGUCCGAUUCUGGGCAGGAAUUUCGGUCGUUAAGUUUAAUUGGCUGCCGCGGCGAAUAAAUUUUCACGCGUAAAGUCCCUCGAUAACGACGACGAUUGCGCAAUCGUCGUAAUUCAUUCGCAGUUGCUUUCUCG